rnacentral:rRNA from 1 species
GAGUUUGAUCCUGGCUCAGAACGAACGCUGGCGGCGUGCUUAACACAUGCAAGUCAGGGAGAAAGUCUCUUCGGGGAUGAUUAAACCGGCGCACGGGUGAGUAACACGUGAGUGACCUGCCUUUUAGACUGGAACAACUUACCGAAAGGUGAGCUAAUGCCGGAUGAGUUAUAUAAGUGCAUGUUUAUAUAGGAAAAGUUGGGGAGACCUGACGCUGAAAGAUGGACUCGCGUCCCAUUAGCUAGUUGGUAGGGUAAUGGCCUACCAAGGCGACGAUGGGUAGCCGGCCUGAGAGGGUGGCCGGCCACACUGGGACUGAGACACGGCCCAGACUCCUACGGGAGGCAGCAGUGGGGAAUUUUGCGCAAUGCUCGUAAGAGUGACGCAGCGACGCCGCGUGAAUGACGAAGGCCUUCGGGUCGUAAAGUUCUUUCGACAGGGAAGAAAAUGCCUAUAAGUAACUGUGUAUGUAUUGACGGUACCUGUAUAAGCAGCCCCGGCUAACUCCGUGCCAGCAGCCGCGGUAAUACGGAGGGGGCGAGCGUUGUUCGGAGUGACUGGGCGUAAAGAGCACGUAGGCGGUGUUGUAAGUCAUUAGUCAAAGACUAGAGCUCAACUUUAGUAAGGCUAGUGAUACUAUAAUACUAGAGUAUCAGAGAGGAUUGCAGAAUUCCUGGUGUAGCGGUGAAAUGCGUAGAUAUCAGGAGGAAUACCGUUAGCGAAGGCGGCAAUCUGGCUGGAAACU